GACGAACGCUGGCGGCGUGCUUAACACAUGCAAGUCGAGCGGUAAGGCCCUUUCGGGGGUACACGAGCGGCGAACGGGUGAGUAACACGUGGGUGACCUGCCUUUAGCUCUGGGAUAAGCCUGGGAAACUGGGUCUAAUACCGGAUAUGACUCCGCGGUGCAUGCUGUGGGGUGGAAAGCCUUGUGCGGCUGGAGAUGGGCCCGCGGCCUAUCAGCUUGUUGGUGGGGUGAUGGCCUACCAAGGCGACGACGGGUAGCCGGCCUGAGAGGGCGACCGGCCACACUGGGACUGAGACACGGCCCAGACUCCUACGGGAGGCAGCAGGUGGGGAAUCUUGCGCAAGUGGGACGAAAGCCUGACGCAGCGACGCCGCGUGAGGAU
rnacentral:rRNA from 1 species